rnacentral:rRNA from 1 species
GUGGGUGGCAAGCGUUGUCCGGAAUUAUUGGGCGUAAAGCGCGCGCAGGUGGUUCUUUAAGUCUGAUGUGAAAGCCCCCGGGCUCAACCGGGGAGGGUCAUUGGAAACUGGGGAACUUGAGUGCAGGAGAGGAAAGUGGAAUUCCACGUGUAGCGGUGAAAUGCGUAGAUAUGUGGAGGAACACCAGUGGCGAAGGCGACUUUCUGGCCUGUAACUGACACUGAGGCGCGAAAGCGUGGGGAGCAAACAGGAUUAGAUACCCUGGUAGUCCACGCCGUAAACGAUGAGUGCUAAGUGUUGGGGGGUUUCCGCCCCUCAGUGCUGCAGCUAACGCAUUAAGCACUCCGCCUGGGGAGUACGGUCGCAAAGACUG